ensembl:lincRNA
AAAGGAGCCAGGCUGUGCAGGCAUUGGGUCUCCUGCUGCACGGCCAGGCGGGGAAGGGGGCAGAGGAAAGAUCUGUUCAGACGCCAGCAGACCGAGCUCCGCGGCCGCCCGGGGCGAGCUCGGCGCUCACCGGCCGCUCCUGCCUUCCCCACGGGCCCCGCCAUCGCCGCCGCCAUCUUCGUCCCCAAGCUCACACUCGGGAGGGCGAGCGAUCCGCACAGCUGCGAGCCUGUCUCGGCAGGUGACCCUCCCUCCACCCCGGCUCGCCCGGGUCUGAGGCUCUGGCCUGAGCCCGACACCCACUCCUCCCGGGACUCAGAGCUUCUGGCACAGCACAGUGGAUUCCAAGUUCAAAAGCAGCGGCUGAAUGGAGACGACAAGCCGCAGUGGGGAGUAUGGUGGCGAGGGAUGGACCUGCAUGUCAAGGGUCUGUCAACCCAGACUAAAAGCAAAUGAAGUUCAUUUGCUUAGUGAUACAUUAGCAAGAGAACAGAAGAAAUCCCAAGAACUUCAGUGUGCCUUGGAAGCAGAGAAAGCCAAGUCAGGCCAUGAUGAAGAACAGGCUAAGGAACUUAAGGCUCUGAGAUCCACUCUUGAAGACCAGAAACAGAGGAACAUACACUUAGAUGAACUUCUGGGACAACAGAGGCAAUUACUAAGUGAUUUUCAGCAACAAAUAGAGUCACAGAGAAUGUUGUAUAAUGUGCAGUUAGCAGAAGAACAAGACCGGAACUUAGAGCUUCAGGUUCUUCUGGAGUCUGAAAAAGUUAAGAUUCAGGAGAUGAAGGACACCCUAGACAAGGAGCGGGAGCUGCAUAGCAAUGGCGGGCAGCCCCAGCCAGCCUUCCCUCCUGAGGAGAUACUUCAGGAGUUACAGGGACCAUUAGAAGAAAAGCAGAAACACAUAAUGGAACUGGUAAAUGAAAGUUGAAAGUAUAAACAGGAUUCCUUGGAAGCCAAUCAGCAGAUGGAAAAGAACAGGCAGGUUCACCAAAAGACAUUGCAGGUGGAAAAAGAAGCUAACACCCUGGGCCAGCAGAAAAUGGAGGAGCUGCAGAGCAAAGUGGAAGAGCUUCAGUGCCAGCUGCAGGAAAAAAGGCACCAAGUACAUAAACUAGUCCUUGAAGGAAGGAGAUUGCAAGGGGUAAUGCAGGGAUUCCAACAGCAGGAGCUAGAGCAUAAGGGAAAAGAAGAAAGUAGACAACUUCUGUAUCAGAAUGUUAACGAGGUAAAUUUUUGUGUCUCUUACAGUGUGUAUGAGGGCAGGAGAGACAGCUCAGUAGGUCAGAUCUGCAGACCUGGGUUUGGUCUCAUACCAAUGCCCACAGACCUCCAAAUGCACCCUGUGGUGGUGGUGGGGUACCUGCACACACAAAAUGACAACAGGUUUUUUUAAGUUAUGAGUAAUUGUAGUAUUUUAAGAUAACCUUAGUAUUUUACAAUAUUUUUAAAUUUUGAAUAUAUUAUUGGAUUAUUUUAAAUAGUUAUAUUCACAAUAUCUCAAAAAUAGUGUCUAUAGAACUUUAUUUGGAAUUUGAAUGGUAAUUUUGUUCCCUCAAGAAAGAAAAUGAAAUGAUGCUCAUUUGUGGGUAUUUUCUUUUUCUGUCCAAAAUUUCCAGGGAGCUGUUAAGAGUUUUACUGACAACUGAACUAGAAAUUGGGUUCUUCACCAGAAAAUGGAAGGAGAGAGCAAAGACACAAGCUAUGCAAAGUUGAUGGAAAUGAAUAGAAAAAAGGAUGACUCUGAUAAUGACAUAGAAAUUAUCAGACAGAAACUUCAGCAUGUGGCUACGAAAAUUCAGCAACAUAUAGCCCAGAAAGCCUGUGACAGGUUAGACUUCUGCCCGCUCUAUAGAAAUGAUACUCUUGUCAAUCCAGACAAGAGUAAGAAAAUGCUGGAUUUUGUUUUUGUUUCUUUGCAUCUCACUAUGUAUUCCUGGCUGACCUAGAAUUCACUCUUUACACCAAGCUGGCCUCAAACAUGAAGGGAAAUCUCCCUGCCUCUGCUUUCUGGGAGUAAAGGCCUGUAACACACACCUAUACCAAAGAAGAAAUAUUUUAAAGACAACACAUGUCUACAUCACAUGGUGUUCUUUAGCGGAACUUACACAUCUGAAAACAGCUAACCCCUUAAACCAGGAAGGGGCAAUAUUUAAGAGUAAAGUAAAAAGUGAAACAGAGCGGCUCUUAGCUGAUGGUGUGUGUUAGUGAAACAGAGCAGCCCUGGCCACUGCUGUGUGUUAGAGACACAGCAGAGCACUCUUAGCCUCUAGUGUCUGUUAGUGACACAAACAGAGCAGCCCUGGCCUCUAGUGCAUGUCGGGAAGUGUUACUGUGAGGUCUGUUUUAAUUUUUUGUCUUUUUCUUAAAGACUAGAGAUUGAAGUAUCAGAUACAGAUGCAUUCAUUUGGGUUCAAGAAAGAAUUGAUCUGAUUAUUUUUCAAGUACAGAGACUAAGGGACUGACCAGAACAUGAG